AACGACUCUCGGCAACGGAUAUCUCGGCUCUCGCAUCGAUGAAGAACGUAGCGAAAUGCGAUACUUGGUGUGAAUUGCAGAAUCCCGCGAACCAUCGAGUCUUUGAACGCAAGUUGCGCCCGAAGCCUUCUGGCCGAGGGCACGUCUGCCUGGGUGUCACUC
rnacentral:rRNA from 9 species